UACGAAGGGUGCAAACGUUGCUCGGAAUUAUUGGGCGUAAAGCGCACGUAGGCGGCUUAGCAAGUCGGAAGUGAAAUCCCUCGGCUCAACCAAGGAAGUGCUUUCGAAACUGCUGAGCUUGAGUACUUAAGAGGAUCGCGGAAUUCCCGGUGUAGAGGUGAAAUUCGUAGAUAUCUGGAGGAACACCGGUGGCGAAGGCGGCAUCCUGGACCGAGAUUGACGCUGAGGCGCGAAAGCCAGGGGAGCAAACGGG
rnacentral:rRNA from 1 species